rnacentral:rRNA from 1 species
GUGCCAGCAGCCGCGGUAAUACGGAGGGUGCGAGCGUUAAUCGGAAUUACUGGGCGUAAAGGGCGCGUAGGGCGGUCGCGCAAGUCGGGUGUGAAAGCCCCGGGCUCAACCUGGGAAUUGCAUUCGAUACUGCGUAACUAGAGUCUGGUAGAGGGAAGCGGAAUUCCGCAUGUAGCGGUGAAAUGCGUAGAUAUGCGGAGGAACACCAGUGGCGAAGGCGGCUUCCUGGACCAAGACUGACGCUGAGGCGCGAAAGCGUGGGGAGCAAACAGGAUUAGAUACCCUGGUAGUCCACGCCCUAAACGAUGAGGACUAGACGUUGGGGGGAUAAAACCCUUUAGUGUCGCAGCUAACGCGUGAAGUCCUCCGCCUGGGGAGUACGGCCGUAAGGUUGAAACUUAAAGGAAUUGACGG